rnacentral:misc_RNA from 1 species
UGGGAAGCUCUAUGUCUAAAAUCAAAUUUAUAAAGAAAGAAUUAUACCACUUAGUCAGAGAGACCAUAAAAAAUCCUCUAAACACAGUCUCCUCGAGAAUUGGAGCAAGUACACCGGUAAUGCCCAGCAGAGAAGCAGUGCUGAUACUUGAGGAGCCUAUCAAUGGGAGUAACCGAGCAAGCGCAUCAGUCUCUCUUUGUGGCGGCUCACCAUUGAAAGCAGACAUUGCUACUCCUGUUAAAGCAAUUGCACCUAUUGCUCCCCCUAGACCAAUUCCAGCCCACAAAAGCCAUCCUCUCUGGAGAUUGAAAGGUUCCUUCAGAUCAUAACGAUAUAUGUCAUCAGGAAGUGGUUGAGAUGACUUGGUGAGAGUAUAAAGGACUAUUAGCACAACUGCAGUUGUUAUAGCUUGAUCAGCGAACAAAAUUUCAGCCUUCUCGUCCAAGCUCAAUGCUUCUACAUCAAGUCCUACAUAGGGUAUUGACGCUGCCUCG